GGAAUAUUGGACAAUGGGGGAAACCCUGAUCCAGCGACGCCGCGUGUGUGAAGAAGGCCUGCGGGUUGUAAAGCACUUUUAGUGGGGAUGAAAUGUGCAGGGUUAAUACCUCUGCAUUUUGACCUAACCCACAGAAAAAGCACCGGCUAACUCUGUGCCAGCAGCCGCGGUAAUACAGAGGGUGCAAGCGUUAAUCGGAAUUACUGGGCGUAAAGCGUGCGUAGACGGUUACAUAAGUCGGGUGUGAAAGCCCCGGGCUCAACCUGGGAAUUGCAUUCGAGACUGCGUAGCUAGGGUGCGGAAGAGGGAAGCGGAAUUUCCGGUGUAGCGGUGAAAUGCGUAGAUAUCGGAAGGAACACCAGUGGCGAAAGCGGCUUCCUGGUCCAGCACCGACGUUCAGGCACGAAAGCGUGGGGAGCAAACA
rnacentral:rRNA from 1 species